CAUAACCGUAGGUCUCGCCGGGUC
rnacentral:siRNA from 1 species